rnacentral:tRNA from 3 species
GCGCCUGUAGCUUAAUUGGAUAGAGCACAAGAUUCCGGAUCUUGAGGCUGAAGGUUCAAGUCCUUUCAGGCGCGCCU